UGGGGAAUAUUGCACAAUGGGCGCAAGCCUGAUGCAGCCAUGCCGCGUGUGUGAAGAAGGCCUUCGGGUUGUAAAGCACUUUCAGCGAGGAGGAAGGUGGUGAGCUUAAUACGCUCAUCAAUUGACGUUACUCGCAGAAGAAGCACCGGCUAACUCCGUGCCAGCAGCCGCGGUAAUACGGAGGGUGCAAGCGUUAAUCGGAAUUACUGGGCGUAAAGCGCACGCAGGCGGUUUGUUAAGUCAGAUGUGAAAUCCCCGGGCUCAACCUGGGAACUGCAUUUGAAACUGGCAAGCUAGAGUCUCGUAGAGGGGGGUAGAAUUCCAGGUGUAGCGGUGAAAUGCGUAGAGAUCUGGAGGAAUACCGGUGGCGAAGGCGGCCCCCUGGACGAAGACUGACGCUCAGGUGCGAAAGCGUGGGGCAGCAAACAGGAUUAGAUACCCUGGUAGUCCACGCUGUAAACGAUGUCGAUUUGGAGGUUGUGCCCUUGAGGCGUGGCUUCCGGAGCUAACGCGUUAAAUCGACCGCCUGGGGAGUACGGCCGCAAGGUUAAAACUUAAAUGAAUUGC
rnacentral:rRNA from 1 species